rnacentral:rRNA from 1 species
AGAGUUUGAUCAUGGCUCAGAAUCAACGCUGGCGGCGUGCCUCAGACAUGCAAGUCGAACGAUUAAGACUUCCUUCGGGAAGUGCAUAAAGUGGCGCACGGGUGAGUAACACGUAAGUAAUCUACCUUCGAGUGGGGAAUAACGUCCGGAAACGGACGCUAAUACCGCAUAAUGCAGCGGCAUCGUAAGAUGACAGUUGUUAAAGGAGCAAUUCGCUUGAAGAGGAGCUUGCGGCAGAUUAGCUAGUUGGUAAGGUAAUGGCUUACCAAGGCUACGAUCUGUAACCGGUCUAAGAGGACGGUCGGUCACACUGACACUGAAUAACGGGUCAGACUCCUACGGGAGGCAGCAGUCGGGAAUUUUGGGCAAUGGGCGAAAGCCUGACCCAGCAACGCCGCGUGAAGGAUGAAGUAUUUCGGUAUGUAAACUUCGAAAGAAUAGGAAGAAUUAAUGACGGUACUAUUUAUAAGGUCCGGCUAACUACGUGCCAGCAGCCGCGGUAAUACGUAGGGACCAAGCGUUGUUCGGAUUUACUGGGCGUAAAGGGCGCGUAGGCGGCAUGACAAGUCACUUGUGAAAUCUCCGGGCUUAACUCGGAACGGUCAAGUGAUACUGUCGCGCUAGAGUGCGGAAGGGGCAAUCAGAAUUCUUGGUGUAGCGGUGAAAUGCAGAUAUCAAGAGGAAUACCUGAGGUGAAGACGGGUUGCUAGGCCGACACUGACGCUGAAGCGCGAAAGCCAGGGGAGCAAACGGGAUUAGAUACCCCCGUAGUCC